AUGACCUUCAUCUCCAUCUUCAUCUGCACACUGGCUCUCUGCACUCAAGGAUCCAGAGGUCAGGUGACUGUGACUCAGAGUCCUGCAGUAAAACAUGUUGAUCCAGGAGCUUCAGUCACCAUCAGCUGUAAAACCAGUUCUAAUGUUUACUCUGAUAGCUGGGGUCAGUAUUUUGCCUGGUAUCAGCAGAAACCUGGAGAAGCUCCUAAACUCCUGAUCUACUACACUAGCAGCAGAGCAUCAGGUUGGAUCGUUGUGGUGUAUCAUAUGUAGGUUGUGCUGCUCUGGCUUCAGCUCUGAGAUCAAACCCCUCACACCUGAAAGAACUAAAUCUGACUUGGAAUAAACUAACAUAUUCAGGAAUGAAGCUCCUUUCUGAUGUAAAGAAUGAUAAACGUUUCAGACUGGAGGUUCUGGAGCUCUAAAGUAAACACUGUUUUAGUCAAUACAGUUCAGAAAUAAAAGG